rnacentral:lncRNA from 1 species
UCUCUUUUUUUUCUCUUUUUUUUCUCUAUCUUUUUUUUUCUCCCUCUUUCCAAGACAAAGUAGAUAAGAUGCAGAUUGGAUCAGGCGAAGAUGUGAAUGACCUCAACUAUGAUUAUGACAAUGAACAGUGCAUAGCACGUGGUGGAAAUUAAUAGAUGGGAUGGUGGACAGCGGAACGGAUAAUGAUGCAGCGGCGGCGUGACUAAUGUGAACAGAACUCGAAACUCUAAAGGAACUAGACACUAAGACCAGCAACUGACACGACGAUGCAACCGAUAAUUCAACUAUGCAAGCAAUGAAUAGAAAAUUGCAAAGGCUCGGACUGGCUUGGAUAAAGGAUGAACAGAUCUAACUUUUUUUGUGGCUUUUUCUUGGACAAUAGGUAAGAAAAUAAAUCUAAUCUAAGAAAAACUGGAAAUUCUCACCGAGCAACCUGAAAACUGAUACCACUUGAUAGAGGCAAAGGUGUCCCGUCUUUCGAUAAGAUGGUGGAUUUCACUUUGGUGGAAGUCGACUUUGACGAUCCGACUACGAGCGUGCGAGGACGUCGCGCCUUAGCAAUCGCUAAACCAACUCCGAGAGGUUAUUGACCUCGCCGGAGCACGAUCAACCUGACCACGAGGGUCUGUUUCCUGCGAGCAAACGAAGAACAAGCAAGAAACUAAGAUUGCAAUCUGGAUAUUGCGAAUAUAAGAUGAAAGCUUUAUUGAUCAAGGUGGGGUUCUGUGACGCCUUUGUCUGGUCGUUGAACACAAACGAAGUACGCAAAGUUGCAGCUAUGGCGAACUUUUAAUCUAAACAAAACCCAAGGAAAAGCUACUAGAUGGAUCUACUUAUAUAGGAGCAAGGGGUGGCGGCCAAGGAGGUGGGAGGAUGUCCCAAGGCAGCCUAAAACUAAAUCUAGGUCGUACAAGGCCAAUGGGCCCAAGUGGAGGUGAUGCAACACCUUUGGACUUGUAGUUUGACUCGGAUUCUGCUGCAGCAUCAGAUUGUUUCGUCCACAACUCAACUCUCCGGACGAAUUUGAAGGUGAUUCCAACUGGGUUGGAAAGUGCACGAAAUCUAGUUUCCAACAAAAAAAAGAAUCACCCAAUUCGGAGUCUGUAUGAAAAACUUGUGUGCGUUUUGAGUCAGGUAUGUCUGUACAGUCCGAAUCUGAAUCCAGAACGUGAGAGACUUGGAUUGUAUCUUCUCUUGGGCCAAAAGUGACGUGAGAGAACUUUUUGGACAGCAAAUAAACAUCUCUUUCUUCCUUAUCUUCAUAUGUGGAUUGUACAAAUAUCCCAUACACCUGCAAUUAGACAAAACACAAAAGUGUGUGAAGUAUUUUUGUUCUGGAUAACAUAAAUAGAUUAUUGAAUAGUUUGCACUAGAAAUCACCUGACAAAUAUGCAUAUAUGCAAUAUUUUUGGUCAUAUCCAAGGUAGUCAUGUCCUCAUCAAUAUAUAAAGCAGGUUUAAAACGGCCAUUAAAUGGUGGUAUAGAUACAUUAACCUGAUCAUGUGCAUUUGGAUGUUUGUGCACCUCUCGUGACGGUUGUGGUAUUUGCAAAGGUGGUGGCACGUCUCCCGUGAUCGACAAAGCCUAUGAAUUGACUCUGGAUCCUGUCAUGAUUAGUAGAACAAGAAACAAAACCCAAAAAUAAUGUUCCUAUAACUACUAGGAUGUGGUGGUAAAACGCUCACAGUAAAGCAAAUAUCAUUGUCUUACAAGUUCUUACCAUGCAGCAGGCGGUGAUCGGCAACCAGCGGUGUCAAGUAACUCCGAAUAUUGAGUAAAGCGAUUGCCAGGGGAGCGUACGUAUACACGGUGUAGAAAUAUGUGGAGCUGGGUUGGAUAUAUAUGGUAGCAAAAGAUUAGCAAUAAUCAAUUCAAAGAUGCAAUGUUGAAUAAACGCUCAACGACGGUACUGUGCUGGUCCUAGGCUAGACCGGACUAGAGACGCGAGCCUAGAACACUAAUAAGGUCACCGCGUAGCACAACUAGCAUCAAUGAAGGAUACUAAGUAGCUCUUGACAGCAAGAUAUAAGUGAAGAUGACAACGGCGGUGAAGAUAAUGAUGAAAAACAACUGCCAAGCAGGAUAUACAACAACUCUCUCUCCAACUUUCCUCUUGAAAAGUUUGAGACAAUUUUCUGAUAAAUUCUUUCAAAGAAUGCUACUAACUCAAGCUUUCCAAUGCAAAAAGAAUCACUCAAUUCCGAGUUGAUAUGAGGAAUCAAAGAAUUCUAAAACUGGCCUGAAAAAAUUGAACAAGCUGUGUUCACGAACUUCGGAGGGCAAAAAGACCUAUUUAGAAACCGAUUUUGAGGUGUCAAAUAUUGAACUAGCUUCUGUAACUAUUUAGAUGCGGCUCAUCGCUAUCUUCAAUUUGAGUACUCACGGAGCCAAAACGGACAUCGUAUGAGGAAGAUACACCUGUUUUACUAAACAGUGUGCAAAACAGAUUCCAAUCCGAAUUCAGGUACGAGAUUUAUUCUAGAUAGAUCCAAUUUUUUUCUUCUCUCUUUUUUUUCUCACGCUUUUUUUUUCUUUUUCUUCUCCCUCUUUUUUUUCUUUCCUUUUUUCUCUCUUUUUUCCUUUAUCUUCUUUUUCUCCCUCUUUCCAAGAUAAACUAGAUAAGAUGCAGAUUCGAUCAGGCGAAGAUGUGAAUGACCACAACUAUGAUUAUGACAAUGAACAGUGUGUAGCACGUGGUGGAAAUUAAUAGAUGGGAUGGUGGACAGCGGAAGGGAUAAUGAUGCAGCGGUGGCGUGACUAAUGUGAACAGAACUCGAAACUCUAAAGGAACUAGACACUAAGACCAGCAACUGACACGACGAUGCAACCGAUAAUUCAACUAUGCAAGCAAUGAAUAGAAAAUUGCAAAGGCUCAGAUUGGCUUGGAUAAGGGAUGAACAGA